rnacentral:rRNA from 1 species
UACGUAGGGUGCGAGCGUUAAUCGGAAUUACUGGGCGUAAAGCGUGCGCAGGCGGUUUUGUAAGCCAGAUGUGAAAUCCCCGGGCUCAACCUGGGAAUGGCAUUUGGGACUGCAAGGCUGGAGUGCGGCAGAGGAGACUGGAAUCCUGGUGUAGCAGUGAAAUGCGUAGAUAUCAGGAGGAAUACCGAUGGCGAAGGCAGGUCUCUGGGCUGACACUGACGCUCAUGCACGAAAGCGUGGGGAGCAAACAGG